GAUGAACGCUGGCGGCGUGCCUAAUACAUGCAAGUCGAGCGAACAGACGAGGAGCUUGCUCCUCUGACGUUAGCGGCGGACGGGUGAGUAACACGUUGAUAACCUACCUAUAAGACUGGGAUAACUUCGGGAAACCGGAGCUAAUACCGGAUAAUAUAUUGAACCUCAUGGUUCAAUAGUGAAAGACGGUUUUGCUGUCACUUAUAGAUGGAUCCGCGCCGCAUUAGCUAGUUGGUAAGGUAACGGCUUACCAAGGCAACGAUGCGUAGCCGACCUGAGAGGGUGGUCGGCCACACUGGAACUGAGACACGGUCCAGAAUCCUACGGGAGGCGGCAGUAGGGAAUCUUCCGCAAUGGGCGAAAGCUUGACGGAGCAACGCCGCGUGAGUGAUGAAGGUCUUCGGAUCGUAAAACUCUGUUAUUAGGGAAGAACAAAUGUGUAAGUAACUAUGCACGUCUUGACGGUACCUAAUCAGAAAGCCACGGCUAACUACGUG
rnacentral:rRNA from 1 species